rnacentral:rRNA from 1 species
CUAUACAUGCAAGUCGAGCGGACAGAUGGGAGCUUGCUCCCUGAUGUUAGCGGCGGACGGGUGAGUAACACGUGGGUAACCUGCCUGUAAGACUGGGAUAACUCCGGGAAACCGGGGCUAAUACCGGAUGCUUGUUUGAACCGCAUGGUUCAGACAUAAAAGGUGGCUUCGGCUACCACUUACAGAUGGACCCGCGGCGCAUUAGCUAGUUGGUGAGGUAACGGCUCACCAAGGCGACGAUGCGUAGCCGACCUGAGAGGGUGAUCGGCCACACUGGGACUGAGACACGGCCCAGACUCCUACGGGAGGCAGCAGUAGGGAAUCUUCCGCAAUGGACGAAAGUCUGACGGAGCAACGCCGCGUGAGUGAUGAAGGUUUUCGGAUCGUAAAGCUCUGUUGUUAGGGAAGAACAAGUGCCGUUCAAAUAGGGCGGCACCUUGACGGUACCUAACCAGAAAGCCACGGCUAACUACGUGCCAGCAGCCGCGGUAAUACGUAGGUGGCAAGCGUUGUCCGGAAUUAUUGGGCGUAAAGGGCUCGCAGGCGGUUUCUUAAGUCUGAUGUGAAAGCCCCCGGCUCAACCGGGGAGGGUCAUUGGAAACUGGGGAACUUGAGUGCAGAAGAGGAGAGUGGAAUUCCACGUGUAGCGGUGAAAUGCGUAGAGAUGUGGAGGAACACCAGUGGCGAAGGCGACUCUCUGGUCUGUAACUGACGCUGAGGAGCGAAAGCGUGGGGAGCGAACAGGAUUAGAUACCCUGGUAGUCCA